rnacentral:misc_RNA from 1 species
AGGGAUCAUUAGUAGUAUUGGCGAAUUCUGUCGUUUUGGUGCGAGCCAAGACUCCAUGGGUUUGUUUUACCGUAACUUGUGUUAUUUGUCCCGCAACUAAACGCUACUAUACUGUUCCACACUAUAAGUCUACUUUAUCUCACCCCUAACGGGGUUCGAAUGGAAACUAAAAACGACACACAACAACGGAUAUCUUGGUUCUC